GAAAAAUUGGGAAGGGGGUGGGAAGGGACGUGUGGAUGGGCUUUGUACCAACCUGGGUGAGGUGGAGACACAGACUCUGAAAACUGGAUGCUGCUGCUGCCCCAGGAAACCUGACCGAAGAGAAGGGGAGAAAAGGAAUUGUAGACACUGUAACACAGGAGAGUGUUCUUCUGCAUGCUGAGAUACAUAGCAAAGCAGACGGAGCUGUACCACUGGCAGCAGAAGUUUUCAGGUUCAGCUUUUCGCAGUGCACAGAUGUAGCUUAUCCUGCCAGCCCUAACCUCCGGGGCCUCUCCAGGACAAUGCAUACGUUUUGCAGAACACAAAGGACCUGAAAAUAAAAGUGGGAAGCACUUCAUCUGGCAGAUGAAGACCAGGAAUAAAACAAUGGAAAUAUGUGUGCAGUUAUUCAGAGGUCUAAACUAAACACAAAUAAAAUGACUGCUUUCAUGAAUUGCUUCUUGCAAAGCCUAGAUUAUCUCCUUCUUUUUGCUCAUUCUGUACAACACCCA
rnacentral:lncRNA from 1 species